rnacentral:ribozyme from 1 species
UAAUGACGCAAGGCCCAGCCCACGUGCAAGCCGUGGCCGCCCUCUUCGGAGGGCGCGGCGCUCAUGUCAAUAUG